rnacentral:rRNA from 1 species
AUUGAACGCUGGCGGCAGGCCUAACACAUGCAAGUCGAGCGGGGUUUUUCGGACCUAGCGGCGGACGGGUGAGUAAUGCGUAGGAAGCUACCCGAUAGAGGGGGAUACCAGUUGGAAACGACUGUUAAUACCGCAUAAUGUCUACGGACCAAAGUGUGGGACCUUCGGGCCACAUGCUAUCGGAUGCGCCUACGUGGGAUUAGCUAGUUGGUGAGGUAAUGGCUCACCAAGGCGACGAUCUCUAGCUGGUUUGAGAGGAUGAUCAGCCACACUGGAACUGAGACACGGUCCAGACUCCUACGGGAGGCAGCAGUGAGGAAUAUUGGACAAUGGGCGCAAGCCUGAUCCAGCCAUGCCGCGUGCAGGAUGACGGUCCUAUGGAUUGUAAACUGCUUUUGUACAGGAAGAAACACUGGUUCGUGAACCAGCUUGACGGUACUGUAAGAAUAAGGAUCGGCUAACUCCGUGCCAGCAGCCGCGGUAAAG